rnacentral:rRNA from 1 species
AUUGAACGCUGGCGGCACGCCUAACACAUGCAAGUCGAGCGGCAGCGAGACUAGUAGCAAUACUAGUUGUCGGCGAGCGGCGGACGGGUGAGUAACACGUAGGAAUCUGCCCUUAAGCGGGGGAUAACCAAGGGAAACUUUGGCUAAUACCGCAUAAUCUCGAGAGAUCAAAGAUGGCCUCUACUUGUAAGCUAUCACUUGAAGAUGGUCCCGCGUCCGAUUAGCUAGUUGGUGAGGUAACGGCCCACCAAGGCGACGAUCGGUAGCUGGUCUGAGAGGAUGGUCAGCCACACUGGGACUGAGAUACGGCCCAGACUCCUACGGGAGGCAGCAGUCGAGAGGCUUCGGCAAUGGGGGCAACCCUGACCGAGCGACGCCGCGUGAGGGAUGACGCCCUUCGGGGUGUAAACCUCUUUUGUGAGGGAAGAACCACGGCAAGGUGAACAAUCUUGCCGUCUGACGGUACCUCACGAAUAAGCUCCGGCCAACUCCGUGCCAGCAGCCGCGGUAAUAC